rfam:Schistosoma mansoni strain Puerto Rico chromosome 1, complete genome
AUCCAGCUGACGAGCCCCAAAUAGGACGAAACAUGAGUCCUUGAU